rnacentral:rRNA from 1 species
GACGAACGCUGGCGGCGUGCUUAACACAUGCAAGUCGAACGGAAAGGCCUGCUUUCCCUUGUGGAUUGCGGGUACUCGAGUGGCGAACGGGUGAGUAACACGUGAGUGAUCUGCCCCCAACUUGGGUAUAAGCCUGGGAAACUGGGUCUAAUUCCCGAUAGGACUGCAGGGUGGUGCCUGUGGUGGAAAACGAUUUUCUAGUGGUUGGGGAUGAGCUCGCGGCCUAUCAGCUUGUUGGUGGGGUAAUGGCCUACCAAGGCGGCGACGGGUAGCCGGCCUGAGAGGGGGGACGGCCACAUUGGGACUGAGAUACGGCCCAGACUCCUACGGGAGGCAGCAGUGGGGAAGAUUGCACAAUGGGCGGAAGCCUGAUGCAGCGACGCCGCGUGGGGGAUGACGGCCUUCGGGUUGUAAACUCCUUUCGACCGCGAGGAAGCCACCUGGUUGGAAGGGUGGUGACGGUAGUGGUAGAAGAAGCACCGGCUAACUACGUG